AAAAAUAAAAAUUGGCCGCUGCUGUUCACGUUAGCAAAAAUUACUAAUAUUACUAAUGUCUCUUGUUUGUAGAUCACCUCUCUUGUGACUCUCCAGCUGUUAUCCGUGGUUGGCCAUAAUGACCAGCUUGAUGGACCACGGUAUAAAUGUACUGUAUCUCUGGACUUCAUCAGAGCCAUUGCCCGGACCGUGAACUUCGACAUAAUAAAGUACUUGUACGAUUUCUUGUGAAAACAAGCUUCGCGGCCAUAUGGACACUGUGACAAUGACUAAGGCAAGCUGUGUUCAUCUCUCUACUUAGCUGGCCAGAAAGAAGAGUAUUUUGGCUCUCUUGGAUUUGUCCAAACAGGUGCUGGCCCAGCAUGGAUCCUGAUGAAAAUACUCUGAUUGGUCUGGGUGGAUCUGAGCAGAGGACUAUUUACCAGGGACCCUGGAGUAUUUGGAAGCAAUGUGUUAAUUAUAAACAGCAGGGUUUGAGCACAAUCUGUUCUACUCCUAAUGAUGUUAUCUUAACACUGAAAUUGCCUGAAACCCAUUUACUUAGGACUGCAUUUUGCUCUAUGAACUCUCCCCAGUGCUUUGAACAUGGCAGCAGCCCUUGUUUGUAUGCCCAGUCUUUUCACUUCCUCUCCACAGGAAUCUUUGCAAUUGCCUGCCAAAGCAGCUUUUCCUGAGGCCACCAUUUUAGGAGAGUGGAGCAGCAAAAUAUAAUAAACAUAAGAACAUAUUUAAAAUC